UAUGUGAUCGUCUCUCGCAUAUCAAUAAGCGGAGGAAAAGAAACUAACAAGGAUUCCCCUAGUAACGGCGAGUGAAGCGGGAAGAGCUCAAAUUUGAAAUCUUAAAGGGUUUCCCUUUACGAAUUGUAGUUUAAAGAAGUGUUUUCUGUUGAGGUUUUGGUAAAAGUUCUUUGGAAUAGGACACCAUAGAGGGUGAGAAUCCCGUAUUUGACCUUUACUUUCAACUUUGUGAUACACUUUCAAAGAGUCGGAUUGUUUGGGAAUGCAGUCCAAAAUGGGUGGUAAAUUUCAUCUAAAGCUAAAUAUUGGCGAGAGACCGAUAGCGAACAAGUACCGUGAGGGAAAGAUGAAAAGAACUUUGAAAAGAGAGUUAAACAGUACGUGAAAUUGUCAAAAGGGAAGCGUUUGACACCAGUGUUGUUUUUCUGAAAAUCAAUUAAAGAACUGUUUAUGCUAAGUUGUUUAGACUUUAUCAGCUAACUGUUUAGUUUUGAGCUUUUCUUUAAUGCACUUUUCAGUUAACAAGUCAACAUCAAUUUCUUUUGCUGUAAAAAAGCUUGAGGAAGGUGGCUUGAGAUUCGUCUUAAGUGUUUAUAGCCUCUUGCCUAUGCAGUCGGAGAGAUUGAGGUCUGCAGCGUAGAUCCUUCGGGGCUAAAUGCAUUUGUGCUAAGUUAUAAGCAUUUUAUAGACAACUUGUUGACUAUGAUUUGUCUUGUAGCUUACUCGCUUAUGUUAUUUUACCUACGCUUAGGAUGUUGAGUAGCGACAUACGCAC
rnacentral:rRNA from 1 species